CAUGCACCGGUGGGGUCCCUCGGCCUGGCCUGUGCCCCCUUGGGGGAUGUCGGAGACCGGUUUUGGCCCUAUCCCACAGGCCAGGCUGAGGGACCCCACUGGUGCAUG
rfam:Myotis brandtii contig312377, whole genome shotgun sequence.